UACGGAGGAGGCAAGCGUUAUCCGGAAUUAUUGGGCGUAAUGCGUCCGUAGGUGGUUGGCCAAGUCUGCUGUCAAAGGGUGGGGCUUAACCUCAUAAAGGCAGUGGAAACUGGCGAGCUAGAGAGCGGUAGGGGUAGGGGGAAUUCCCAGUGUAGCGGUGAAAUGCGUAGAGAUUGGGAAGAACAUCGGUGGCGAAAGCGCCCUGCUGGGCCUGCACUGACACUGAGGGACGAAAGUUAGGGGAGCGAAAGGG
rnacentral:rRNA from 1 species